GAUGAACGCUGGCGGCGUGCCUAAUACAUGCAAGUCGAGCGAACAGACGAGGAGCUUGCUCCUCUGACGUUAGCGGCGGACGGGUGAGUAACACGUGGAUAACCUACCUAUAAGACUGGGAUAACUUCGGGAAACCGGAGCUAAUACCGGAUAAUAUAUUGAACCGCAUGGUUCAAUAGUGAAAGACGGUUUUGCUGUCACUUAUAGAUGGAUCCGCGCCGCAUUAGCUAGUUGGUAAGGUAACGGCUUACCAAGGCAACGAUGCGUAGCCGACCUGAGAGGGUGAUCGGCCACACCGGAACUGAGACACGGUCCAGACUCCUACGGGAGGCAGCAGUAGGGAAUCUUCCGCAAUGGGCGAAAGCUUGACGGAGCAACGCCGCGUGAGUGAUGAAGGUCUUCGGAUCGUAAAACUCUGUUAUUAGGGAAGAACAAAUGUGUAAGUAACUAUGCACGUCUUGACGGUACCUAAUCAGAAAGCCACGGCUAACUACCUG
rnacentral:rRNA from 1 species